rnacentral:rRNA from 1 species
UACGAAGGGGGCUAGCGUUGUUCGGAUUGACUGGGCGUAAAGGGCGCGUAGGCGGUUCGUUCAGUCAGACGUGAAAUUCCUGGGCUCAACCUGGGGGCUGCGUUUGAUACGUGCGGACUUGAGUGCGGAAGAGGGUAGUGGAAUUCCCAGUGUAGAGGUGAAAUUCGUAGAUAUUGGGUAGAACACCGGUGGCGAAGGCGGCUCUCUAGUACGGUACUGACGCUGAGACGCGAAAGCGUGGGGAGCGAACAGG